ACGAACGCUGGCGGCGUGCUUCACACAUGCAAGUCGAACGGAAAGGCCCUGCUUUUGUGGGGUGCUCGAGUGGCGAACGGGUGAGUAACACGUGAGUAACCUGCCCUUGACUUUGGGAUAACUUCAGGAAACUGGGGCUAAUACCGGAUAGGAGCUCCUGCUGCAUGGUGGGGGUUGGAAAGUUUCGGCGGUUGGGGAUGGACUCGCGGCUUAUCAGCUUGUUGGUGGGGUAGUGGCUUACCAAGGCUUUGACGGGUAGCCGGCCUGAGAGGGUGACCGGCCACAUUGGGACUGAGAUACGGCCCAGACUCCUACGGGAGGCAGCAGUGGGGAAUAUUGCACAAUGGGCGGAAGCCUGAUGCAGCAACGCCGCGUGCGGGAUGACGACCUUCGGGUUGUAAACCGCUUUCGCCUGUGACGAAGCGUGAGUGACGGUAAUGGGUAAAGAAGCACCGGCUAACUACGUG
rnacentral:rRNA from 1 species